rnacentral:rRNA from 1 species
CUACGGGGGGCUGCAGUGAGGAAUAUUGCACAAUGGGGGAAACCCUGAUGCAGCAACGCCGCGUGGAGGAUGACGCAUUUCGGUGUGUAAACUCCUUUUAUAUGUCAAGAAAAUGACGGUAGCAUAUGAAUAAGCACCGGCUAACUCCGUGCCAGCAGCCGCGGUAAUACGGAGGGUGCAAGCGUUACUCGGAAUCACUGGGCGUAAAGGACGCGUAGGCGGGUUGUCAAGUCAGGUGUGAAAUCCUACAGCUUAACUGUAGAACUGCACUUGAAACUGGCAGCCUAGAGUAUGGGAGGGGGAGAUGGAAUUAGUAGUGUAGGGGUAAAAUCCGUAGAUAUUACUAGGAAUAUCAAAAGCGAAGGCGAUCUCCUGGAACAUUACUGACGCUAAGGCGUGAAAGCGUGGGGAGCAAACAGGAUUAGAUACCCCUGUAGUC